AAGGGAAUCUUCCACAAUGGACGAAAGUCUGAUGGAGCAACGCCGCGUGAGUGAAGAAGGGUUUCGGCUCGUAAAACUCUGUUGUUAAAGAAGAACAUAUCUGAGAGUAACUGUUCAGGUAUUGACGGUAUUUAACCAGAAAGCCACGGCUAACUACGUGCCAG
rnacentral:rRNA from 1 species